CAUAGGGGAGAUGCUCCAGGCCCUUCACCAUCUUUGUGGCCCUCCGCUGGACUCUUUCCAAGAGAAGAGGUAUCUUGGCAUGAAAAGGUUGUGCUAGAAGAAAUGACUGCCAGGUACUCAACACUUUGUCUUCCUUGGGGCACUAAAUAAAUUAAUGCUUUUUAAGUGGCUUUGCGGGCCCCCAGUUGUAAUUAUCAACUUGUAGCUCAGCUAAAAUUGCAAUUUGAACCGGUGACAAAGAGGGCAAAGGCUUCUUUGUAGUGACCAGACUCUUAUGUAUGUUGUUCUCAUUUUGUUUUCAGGGUCACUGUCGUAUCUCUUUGGAUACAAUUCGGUGUGCAUAUUUUACAGGGUGAUUGAAAAUGAUGGCUGCUCAGAGAUGCACUCCUGGUUUGGUUACAAGAUUCAUGACUUCCUUUUCUUUGGCUUCUUGUAUGGAUAUAUAUAAAAUCUCUAUUUGAUAUUCUGUUUUUUGAUUACAGAUGUGUGUUGGUUCUCCAGCAUUCUCACCCAUUUAUAAAACCACAGGUUGGUGGCUCUCGAACCAUUGAACCUUCUUGCAGAGCUCAGCUCAGGGAAAUGUGCCAAUAAUUUAGUUUUGUUAUGGUUGCACAGACCAGCUGCUAGCUGCUUACCUUUGUCUCAUGGGCUUGGUUUGGGAAUCUCCUCCCCAAGGCCUGAGGUGUGAGCCCCAGCUACAUCACUCGGAAAAAGAGAGGUUGUUAUGCAUGGUUUGUGAUUGGGAUUUGUUCACUGAAUAGCAACAGAAUGGAACUCAGAUUUCUUAUUUUUUACUACUGAGAUGAUUGGUUUACCAGUGCUGCUUUUACUAGCUACUCUUUGAUGUUACUUUGUUAACAAAUGGGAUCAAAUGCCACUAUGGUACUGGACAAGUUCCUGUGACAACUAGAAUUUGCACAGUAUCUUUAAAAUAGCUAGCUAUUAAAAAAAAAAAAAAAAAGAAUUUUAUAAAAUACAGAAGAUCAAGAAUGUGUGCUUAAUAGUGCAGCUGGAACUGCCACGUGUGCAGCGAUCAGGUCUCGCUGCCCUGCGUGCAACGGGCUGCUCCUGGUUUUGUCCUCGUUCAUCACUCUGCUACCUGCCCUCUGUGCUGUGUGCUCUGCCUCCUUGGCUUUGGCUGGCUGACUCGAGUUGUUAGAAGACAGGUUCAAUCAGACCUUUGCUCUUCACCCCCUUCUCAAAUUAGCGUAGUAAAACCUAUUAAGAGGAAUAGAUUUGGUUGAUGGUGUUUGUAUUUGUUUGUUUGUUUUCCCCAUGGUCUGCUCUGCUCUGAUGCUUGUGCUGAGUACUCAGCGAGGUCUUCAAUAAGAUACGGUGAAACAAUUGCACAUGGAGAAAUGGAUCUUAAUUUAUAGUGGGGUUUCAGGCCAGUCCUGCUUUCCCUGCCUUAUGAGAGGCUGCUGUACCAAGAGGAUCGUUUCCCUCUGUCAUGUACCGACUCCUUUUGAACUCCUCUGUCGCUGUGGUUCUGCAGACUGCUGCAGAAUGGCUCUUACUGAAUCAUAUUUGCAUGUCAGUUCCUUUCAUCACAGGCUGCUUGCUGAAAAAUCUACUCUCCUUUGUCUUGUGUUGGUUGUUUGCUUUCACUCUGAAAGGAAGGCGGUUUAGAUUUGUUCCAUGUCUUCUUUGACCUGGUUGUGUUGAUGGCUUUUGUACUGAAUCUGUACAACAUCUCCUUUUUCUGACAUGUCCCAAACUGCGGCUGUGUUUGCAGAAGUUAUGGAGCACUGAGCUGUAAGAAUGGCUUUUCCCUAAUCCGUUUUGAGUUGUUGGCUUUUUACCUUUCCUUUGGGAGGUAAAGGCCCCAAUUUUAAUCUGCUGUAGUUUAUUGGAGUAUGAACUUCACCUUCGGUCACCAAUCUGUUUUUCAUGUUACUGCAUGAUAUAGGUCUGGGGUUAGUGGUUGGUUGUUUUUCUCUGUGAUUCCAUUCAGGGAUUCUACCCGAUUGCCAGUGCCCGUUUUCUAUUGGAAAUGAAGUAUAUAUUGUAAAGAGAACGUUGUGUGCCUGUGUGUGCAGGUGUGCACUGCUGGGUGUCUGCAGUGCUGAGACCAGUAGUACAGAAGAUACUGUUGGUUUGUUUACAGUAGAAAGUUAUUACUACUUUGAAAUGUCCAUUUGAUUUGCUAUCACAGAAUGCUUAUAGCUCUAUUAAGACACGUGAUCUGCGUGUACUGGUAAUAAAAAUGCCAUAAAAUCUUACCACGAGUCGUUUUAUAAGUGUAGCAUUGUCUAUCCUAAGCUUUUAGAAACUACAAGUUCUUGUAAGAAGAAAGAAGGAGAGACAAAGAAAGAAAAAAGUCAUGUAAACAUCAUUGGAACUUCUUGAUGCUUAUCAGAGCUCAUAAAGUAUUGCCCAGCUCUUGUCCUACCCAUUUUUUUUCUCCUCGUAUGGAUAUCAAAAACGAGCUUGGUUGUAUUAGGCAGGAAAACGGUGAUAUCACUGUUCUUGGGCACGUAGUAGAAGGGUGAGCUGAUGUCACUGCUGUGCUUUGUGAGAGAAGUCCUGCCGUCCUGAGCCCGGAAAGUCAGGUGCCGGAGGUGGUGCAGUCGAAAUGUGACCCAGGGCAGCCUUGCUUUGUUUUGCUCUUAGCGUUGGUUGAUUGCAGAUGGAGUUGUAUUAUUUAGGUGUAAGUGGUCUUUUACCUCUCCUUGAUAGAUGACUGACCUUCUUACUGCUCCUGAAUUAGGAUCGUUUGCCAUAGGCUCUGUCAAAUCCUUUUCAAAAACUGAAUGAACACUAAGUAUGAAUUAGCUGUUCUCCAGUGCAAUCAAAGCAUGGAGGAUGGAGUAGAGGUAGUUUUCAUUUAAAAUUCAUGAGUACCCCUUUUCUCUACAGUAUUUUGCAAUAGAAGGUGAAAGGUCUCUUGGGAGUGUGGAAAUCUGGGGAAGGAGAGGGAAGGGUCUGGUUACGUUUGUUAUGUGGAAGUACUGUUAUCUGCUAUUGGUUAUUUUGUUGUCUCAUUGAUUACUGGGAAAUUAAGUAAUUUUCCAAGACUCUGCUUUACAACAUGCUUACGAAAGGGCCCUUGUGAUACCUUUUUGAACAGAAGUGAUAGAAAUGCUUUGAAAUAUUCAUGUGGAAGAAAAAAAGAAGAGAUUAUCUUCAGGAUUCAUCCUCAUCCAAGAUACUUCUCUUUUUUAAUGCAGGUUAGGUGGUAGAUCAGAGAUUCUGGAUGAGAGCUUUCCACUCAUUAAAGACAAGCUCCACAGGCAUUAGAACAGUUGCUCAACAUGUUUCCUUCCUAGAAGAGGAAAUGUCUGAAGUAGAGAAGAGCCAUGGUGCCUUUUUAGUACAAUUUGCCAAUUGUUUUGAUAUGCAACUAUCCCAUCUUUAAAAACACCUCCUCCAUGAGCGGCACUUUAAGAUCUGCCAAUGCUCUACCAAACCGAAGACUUCUUCCCUGUGAACAAUGUAGGUAUCAAGUAUCAAAGUCAUUAAUUUGUGUCUCUUUUAUAAAAGGAUGGGUUUGUUCUUACACUUCAUACAUACAUACAUAUAUAUAUAUAUACAUAAAUUAGAAGCAGCUGCUACAUUUCGGAUCUUUGGUUAGCAUCUCUAAAGGGAAACUGAAAAUUUCCAAUCAUAUUGUGACCAUAUAGAGGCUGGAACAUUUAUUCUAUGAUUUGAUCACAGUAGUUUACACCAUAAGCUUACAGAACCAGCAAAGCAAAUUUUUAUUUAAAAUGAUCAGAAGGUUAAAGAAUGUGCUAGUAUUGCAUGCUAAAACUGCCAGCCUCACAAAUGAUCAAGUUACACAUUAGAACAUGAAAUCGGGGGUCAAAAUUUAAAAAUUCAAUAAACCACACAUGGCCAAACCUUCUAGCACUCUGAAGCAGGAACAGGGCUUUAAAAGCUGUUGUGUAAUGUAAGUUGAAUGAUAUGAAUAAACUUUGCAAAAUUGUCAUGAACCUUUGGAUGUGCCACUUUGUAAUGAUGAUUCUAUUUAACAAGAACUUGGCAUAAAAUAUUCAUC